CACUAGAUUCACCUGCAGCUGCAUUACAAAAAGUAAAUAAAAAAACUAAGGAGUUGGACACAGAUAACACAUUUGAUGAUUAACACUAUCCUACCAUUAGAUGAAAAUCAACAAGCAAAUAAUUCAAUAAUCACUACAUAUAAGACCCAUAGGGCAGUGACACUCACAUAAAACUCUCAACAAGACAGCAAAUCAUUGUGUAAACACAAUGUAGUCUACAAAUAUGAGACCUUCAUAAAGAACCUCAUUCCUAUGGCAAUACUAGCUACAGUACAUGAUAAAUAGAUCUUUUUAAACUACAUUCAAAACUACAAGUUAGUUCAGAUGGUCAAAUGAAGUUUCUGGCUUGGCACAA
rnacentral:misc_RNA from 1 species